rnacentral:rRNA from 1 species
GACGGAGGGUGCAAGCGUUGUUCGGAAUUACUGGGCGUAAAGCGCGGGCAGGUGGCCUUUUAAGUCCUUUGUGAAAUUCCGGAGCUCAACUCCGGAUGUGCAUAGGAUACUGGAAGGCUAGAGACUGGUAGAGGCGAGCGGAAUUCCUGGUGUAGCGGUGAAAUGCGCAGAUAUCAGGAGGAACACCGGUGGCGAAGGCGGCGACCUGGGUCGAGACUGACGCUGAGGCGCGAAAGCGUGGGGAGCAAACAGG